rnacentral:rRNA from 1 species
AACGAACGCUGGCGGCAGGCUUAACACAUGCAGGUCGAACGCCCCGCAAGGGGAGUGGCAGACGGGUGAGUAACGCGUGGGAACGUGCCCUUCGCUUCGGAAUAGCCCCGGGAAACUGGGAGUAAUACCGAAUACGCCGUAUUGGGAAAGAUUUAUCGGCGAAGGAUCGGCCCGCGUUAGAUUAGGUAGUUGGCGGUGUAAUGGACCACCAAGCCUACGAUCUAUAGCUGGGCUGAGAGGAUGAUCAGCCACACUGGGACUGAGACACGGCCCAGACUCCUACGGGAGGCAGCAGUGGGGAAUCUUGGACAAUGGGCGCAAGCCUGAUCCAGCCAUGCCGCGUGAGUGAAGAAGGCCUUAGGGUUGUAAAACUCUUUCGCCGGAGAAGAUAAUGACGGUAUCCGGAGAAGAAGCCCCGGCUAACUUCGUGCCAGCCGCCGCCGUAA